UUUUUUUCCGUCCUACGUCGAGGGUUAACAAUAUUCUCGAUGGCACGAAAGGAAUAUUUCUCUCUUUCGAGAAACGAUCGUAAAAGGAGGGGGAGGGCAAGAAGAGGAAGAGGAAGAGAGAAAAAAAAAAACGUAGGUCCCCCGAGCAGAAAGCAAACGUAAUCUACCGAUGUCUGUCGAAUACAAAGUAGCGUUGAACAUAAUACUUAGAAUGCAAUCUAUCGUGCUACAUACAUAUAAAUCGCUGUGAUCACUGAGUCGUUGAAAUUCGUAACGAUCCUCCUUCUUUCCUCUCUUCUCGUCCUCCUCCUCCUCCUCCUCCUCCUCCUCCUCCAUUUUCCACCGCUUCGUCCUCGUUUCCCCGUCCAUUCCACCUUUUGCCUCCCUCCCUCUUCCCCUACCCCCGAAACUGUAUUCCUGUCACGAAUGUGGAACGAAAUAGAAUUGUUGAAGCAACGAUAAGAUGAAUGGAAAGGGGAGGGAGAGAGAAAAAGAGAAAGAGAAAAAGAGAGAGAGAGAUAAAAAAGGAGGGAUGAAAACGAGGACAGGAAAUUUUGCCGAGAAAAAUUUCUUUAAAAAUAAAAUCUCUCCUCUUUAUGAACGAUAAUGGAACGCCAUGAGGAGGAUUAUCGGCCUCGAGGAGAAAUAUAUUUUUAAUUUCGUUGGAUCGAAUGGAAGAAAAAAAAAAGGAGGUGGAGGAGGAGGAGGAGGAAGAAAACGAGUAUAUCUUUGUUCGGUGGGAAUAUGGAGACCAUUAUAAAAAUUUACAACCGUGCGUGUUUCCGUUUGUAUCUCAAUUUCGUUUCGUUUUUUCCAACACGGUCCAUUUACCGUGCCCAUUCCCGGCAAAUAAAAUACAAAUAAACUACUUGGAAGCUGGAUGGAAAGACAUCUGUGCAAGAAAAUGAAAACAAGCACGAAUUGAAUAACGUUAAAGAAGAGGGAGAGAUGAAGAAGAAGAAGAAGAAGAAGAAAAAG